rnacentral:misc_RNA from 1 species
AAGUCGUAACAAGGGUUCCGUAGGUGAACCUGCGGAAGGAUCAUUAACACGUAUCCAAACGUUAAAACCCCCCCCGCGAACCUUCAUCCUGCUCUUGUAACCCGCGUAGUUCGCAAUCUCUGAUAAAUCAUAGCCCGGAAAGUUGUAGUGAGCUUUGCCAAAGGGUCCCCAUGCCCCCUAAUAACCCCACAGUUUAAUGUGAAGCUCAAUGUAAUACAUUGGGUAAAAAAACCGAACAACUGUUAACAAUGGAUAUCUUGGUUCCC